rnacentral:rRNA from 1 species
CCCUUAGAUGCCCGGGGCCGCACGCGCGCUACAAUGGAUGAAUCAACGCGUCAUCCUGGCCCGAAAGGGUUGGGGAACCGCUGAACCUCAUCCGUGGUUGGGAUUGGGGUUUGUAAUUAUUCCCCAUGAACUAGGAAUUCCCAGUAAGCGCGAGUCAUAAGCUCGCGUUGAUUACGUCCCUGCCCUUUGUACACACCGCCCGUCGCUACUACCGAUUGGAUGGUUUAGUGAGAUCCUCGGAUUGGUCACGGCACGGUGGCAACACUGCGUCGGUGUGCCGAGAAGACGAUCAAACUUGAUCAUCUAGAGGAAGUAAAAGUCGUAACA